rnacentral:tRNA from 1 species
GCCCGCUUAGCUCAGUGGUAGAGCGCCCGCCUCACACGCGGGAAGUCGCUAGUUCGAGUCUAGCAGCGGGCA